GCUGGGGCUCAGUGGUAGAGCACUUGCCUGGCAUGUGUGAGGCACUGGGUUCAAUUCUCAGCACCAUGCA
rnacentral:tRNA from 1 species